rnacentral:misc_RNA from 1 species
GAUGAAGAACGUAGCGAAAUGCGAUAAGUAAUGUGAAUUGCAGAAUUCAGUGAAUCAUCGAAUCUUUGAACGCACCUUGCACUCCUUGGUAUUCCGAGGAGUACGCCUGUUCGAGUGUUAUGAAGCUCUCAAAACGCAAUUGGCUUAAAACCUGAUUGUUGUUUUGGAUUUGAACUUUGCCGUGUUAUAACGGCUGGUUUUAAAAGUAUUAGCUGGUACUAGAACGAAUUGGUUCUACUCAACGUGAUAAUUAUCUGAUCGUUGAGGACAUUCCUUUCACGAGGAAUGGCCAUAGUAAAUUCAAUGGACUGCUUCUAAUCUGGCUUUAAUUCUUUAUUGGAUUAACCACUUUUCAAAUCUGACCUAGAAUCAGGUGGGACUACCCGCUGAACUUAAGCAUAUCAAUAAGCGGAGGA